rnacentral:rRNA from 1 species
UACGUAGGGUGCAAGCGUUGUCCGGAAUUAUUGGGCGUAAAGAGCUCGUAGGCGGUUUGUCGCGUCUGCUGUGAAAACCCGAGGCUCAACCUCGGGCCUGCGGUGGGUACGGGCAGACUAGAGUGAUGUAGGGGAGACUGGAAUUCCUGGUGUAGCGGUGAAAUGCGCAGAUAUCAGGAGGAACACCGAUGGCGAAGGCAGGUCUCUGGGCAUUAACUGACGCUGAGGAGCGAAAGCAUGGGGAGCGAACAGG